UACGAAGGGGGCUAGCGUUGUUCGGAAUCACUGGGCGUAAAGCGCGCGUAGGCGGGUCGUUAAGUCAGGGGUGAAAUCCCGAGGCUCAACCUCGGAACUGCCUUUGAUACUGGCGACCUGGAGUCCGGGAGAGGUGAGUGGAACUCCUAGUGUAGAGGUGAAAUUCGUAGAUAUUAGGAAGAACACCAGUGGCGAAGGCGGCUCACUGGCCCGGUACUGACGCUGAUGCGCGAAAGCUAGGGGAGCAAACGGG
rnacentral:rRNA from 1 species